UGGGGAGGUUGGGAUUUUAGUCUUCUUUAACGAGCCCAGCUCCGAACUGUUGCAGGCUAAUAUAGCUACAGUUGGCCAUGAGCUAAGGCUGGGGUUACCAGGGCAGUUUUACUUUGUCCUUCAAUCACAGUGUCCCAAAACACUACCUGCAGAGAAUCAGUGAUGUGAGAAAAGGAAGGGAUUGUAGUAGGGGAGAUCCAGAAAGAGGAGAGGAAAGCACAGAUGGAGGGCAGGGCAGGGCAAGGAACCCCCCCCACACACACACACACCGCCCCUCAGAAGAAGCCAAUGCUGCAGUGGGUGUGUCUUGCAGGAGGUCAGAGAGGAGAAAGGCACUGAAGACUGCAAGCCACAAAUCACAAUCACAGACAGGAAAUAAGAAUGGCCAGACCCGAGCUGACCAUGUAGUCUAGUGUCCUGUCUCUGGCAGUGGCCAGCACUUCAUGUCUCAGAGGAGGGAGCAAGAAACUCCACAAUUCACCCACCUCUAGUGGAGAGGAUCGAUGUAGCUACGCCCACGCGUGCAGAGUCUGUCUGUUCUAGCCUGUAUUCCCGUUAUGGAGACCCACACUCCCGGCGCCCCGCUGAUUCCCCACGUCAGGCGACCCCCGGAGACGUAGUGAGGCAGAUUGGCCACCCACAGACCCGGAGGGGGAGGGGACACUCCCCCCAACCGACUACAAUACCAUACAGAUGAGCAGAGAACCAAUGAUCAAACAGGCCCUGGAGCCUGAACAUCCUUCUGACUCGUAAAGGAGAUCGGCAGAGCACUCACGCCACCCUGCAAGUGCUAUCCUGCCCCAUGGAUACGGAGAAAGCCUCCAUCACCCGGCCUGUCGCUCUGGCCCCGCUGCAAAGCCUGCUUAAAAACGCUCCGCAAUGAAAUACCCCUCGGACGUCUCAGCCAGGACUGCAAUGCAGCUCUCUCCCUGCCGGCGCAUGACAGUCCUCUCCGCCUCGCCCUGUGCCCGGAGCACACGGCCGGUCUCACUGGGUUGCAUUUGCCUGGUGCCGCCUCGGCGUGACGAAGGGAAAAGUUUUAAUAUUCGUCGCCAUGAAUUUUUAA